AACGCACAUUGCACCCGGUGGUAUUCCGCCGGGUAUGCCUGUUCGAGCGUCAUCAUAACCACUCAAGCUUGUCUUGGUGUUGGGGUUGCGAUUCUUGCAGCCUUAAAGUCCAGUAGCGUCACCUGUGGGUUCUAAGCGUAGUAAUUUCUCCUCACUAUAGAGCCUGCUCGUGGAUAGUACAAUUCCAGUCAAGUCUGGUAUCUCGCUAUUAAACCCCCAAAUUUAAAGGUUUGACCUCGGAUCAAGUAGGGAUACCCGCUGAACUUAA
rnacentral:misc_RNA from 1 species